rnacentral:rRNA from 1 species
UUGACUUUGACAAAUGGUGUAAUGUCUUCUAUGAGGAUUUUCGAGUAUGUCAAGGAAGUUGAUUUUUAUCCCAAUGCCUCAAUUAAUUAUAUCUUAUUUGCAGUGCAUGUAACUGUCACAUUAGUUGAAAUAAGUUUUUCAGAGUUAAGAGUAUUGCAUAGCUAUUUGAAAUCAACAAUGACUCAGGAGAGUUUAAAUGGUUUGACAACAAGAUGCAUUGAGUAAAAAUUAUCGGAUAAGAUUGACAUGUACCAUUAUUUUUUAAGUGACUUUGCAUCAAAGAAUGUUAUUUUUUGA